rnacentral:rRNA from 1 species
ACGGGUGAGUAAUGUGUGGGUAAUCUGCCUUCGAGAGGGGGAUAACCUGGCGAAAGCCGGGCUAAUACCCCAUGACAUUGCUUGGUCUUCGGAUCGAGUAAUCAAAUGAUGGCCUCUAUUUAUAAGCUAUCGCUCAAAGAUGAGCUCACAUCCUAUCACGCUUGUUGGUGAGGUAAAGGCUCACCAAGGCGACGACGGGUAGCCGGCCUGAGAGGGUGUCCGGCCACACUGGAACUGAGACACGGUCCAGACUCCUACGGGAGGCAGCAGUGGGGAAUUUUUCGCAAUGGGCGCAAGCCUGACGAAGCAACGCCGCGUGGAGGAUGAAGGCCCUAGUGGUCGUAAACUCCUGUCUAGUGGGACGAAAUUCAGCCGGGUGAACAAUCCGGCAGAUUGACUGUACUACUGGAGGAAGCUCCGGCCAACUCCGUGCCAGCAGCCGCGGUAAUACGGAGGGAGCAAGCGUUACUCGGAAUUAUUGGGCGUAAAGGGCGCGUAGGCGAUUUAACAAGUCUUGUGUGAAAGCCCCGAGCUUAACUCGGGAAGUGCACAAGAAACUGUUGAAUUUGAGUUCCGGAGAGGAAGGC